rnacentral:lncRNA from 1 species
UCACCACACCGUGAGGGAGAUCCUUUCUCUCAGACCCCAGGAGCACCACCAAGAAGGCCAAAGCCAGGAACAACCUCACCCAGCCCACAGCUCAAGAAACGCCUCAGUCUAUAUCCAGCCUUUCUGCACAAUACAUCUGCCCUCUCCCAUGGUAAACAGCCCCAAGGCACAGCAGGGAACAGGGAGAGAGAUACAUGAUUAAAAAUCCCAGAAAAGUACAAAGUGAAAGAGAAAAGGAAGGAGGAAGGGCACAAGGAGAACCCAGAGGAAGACAAGGGCUCAAAACUCACCUUGUUCCCAAUAAGAUGGAGCUGAAGGAGUGGAUGGGAGAGUGAGGAGAAGGUCCUGCUUUUAUACUACUCCUGCACCGCCCCAGGCCCGCAGUCACUGCAUACGGGCAGUAAUUUUCCUACAGACUCAUCUCCAAAGCAGACUGUCCUCCCAAAUGCCCCAGGUUGUGUUUGGGUUUCUGUCAACGCUGCCAUUUCAUUUCCUCAUUGCUGACAUGACCAUUAGGCCACAGAGGAUCUUUUGAAGUGUUGGGAUGAGAGGCCUGAGGCUUUCCUGAGCAUGAUCACAUCAGUGCAGGCAGAAGAUGUGCCCCCAUAUGCUGGAGAGGUCUGUGCAGGCAGAGCAUGUGGCUGUGGGGAAAUAAGUGGUGAGUGUUUUUACAAACCCCUGUGAGGAAACAUGGUCCUGGCUUCCUACCAAUGCAAUCCCCUCCAGAAGUCUUCCCUGCAUGUGGGCAUGCUGCAUCCCUCUCCCUCCCUGGUGCCUGCCUGCUCGGGCCACAAGUCACUGGGCAUUGCCUCUCUAGGCACGUUUGUUACAUUGCUGCUUUCAAAUGGCUUUGCCUAAGGAAAUCUUCUCCUUUGGUGAAGACAUUUCCUGGUUUAUUUGGCAGAGUUGUCUCCUCUCACUGCCAUCUCUGGGAUACCCCAACCAGUGCUGUCAGCAGACUGGUAGCAGAAGAUUGUUGCCCUCCCACUUGAAAUGUCCCCUGUGAUUCCUGAAGGAGCCCUUUUGGGCUGGGACUCACUGUCAUCUGUAUUAGAGGGGUCUGUCGGCUCUUGGGAUAGAACCAUAUUCCUCCCUCUCUCCUCACCCCACAAUGCAAUUUCCUGCACAUUUUGUACCAUAACCUGCAGGACACAAGCACAGGCCACUUUUUCAAUACAUAUUGUCAGUCCUGCAAGCAUCCCCAGGGCCAGGAUGGAGCUGCCCUUGCUGGAAGGGAAUUCAGGCCUUGGCCUGGCCUGCAGACACCACGCACCCCUGGCUUGGCCUCACACCAAAAGGCUGACACAAGGCCAACCCAAAAUUGGAGCGCGACUUGCCACUGCCACAUGCUCUGCCUGCACAGACCUCUCCAGCAUAUGGGGGCACAUCUUCUGCCUGCACUGAUGUGAUCAUGCUCAGGAAAGCCUCAGGCCUCUCAUCCCAACACUUCAAAAGAUCCUCUGUGGCCUAAUGGUCAUGUCAGCAAUGAGGAAAUGAAAUGGCAGCGUUGACAGAAACCCAAACACAACCUGGGGCAUUUGGGAGGACAGUCUGCUUUGGAGAUGAGUCUGUAGUAAAAUUACUGCCCGUAUGCAGUGACUGCGGGCCUGGGGCGGUGCAGGAGUAGUAUAAAAGCAGGACCUUCUCCUCACUCUCCCAUCCACUCCUUCAGCUCCAUCUUAUUGGGAACAAGGUGAGUUUUGAGCCCUUGUCUUCCUCUGGGUUCUCCUUGUGCCCUUCCUCCUUCCUUUUCUCUUUCACUUUGUACUUUUCUGGGAUUUUUAAUCAUGUAUCUCUCUCCCUGUUCCCUGCUGUGCCUUGGGGCUGUUUACCAUGGGAGAGGGCAGAUGUAUUGUGCAGAAAGGCUGGAUAUAGACUGAGGCGUUUCUUGAGCUGUGGGCUGGGUGAGGUUGUUCCUGGCUUUGGC